AGAGCAAGGGGGAGGUUUUCAAAUCUCACCAGGUCUAACAAGCAGGGGUUGAGAAUCACUGUUCCAAGCCUUUUGGGAGCUCUUCCUAUAAAAAUGCCUUCAAAGUCUAUGACACUUCCCAUGAAUCCUGUCAACAAGAUUCUUAUUUUAAAGACAGACUGGAUUUUAAAAAAAGAAACAGCUUUAGGUUGUUUAGAACUGAAUCUGUGGAAUAGGAGUGAAAUACUGGUCCUUGUCCUCAAGAGGAGGAGAAACCUCAGAAAUACACCUGGGAUCCUCGUGUGAGCCCAGGUGGUUUCAAAGGUAAUCAUUCACUGAGCACAAGCCGGAGCUCUGCUGAGGCCAAAGCUCUCAAGCAGAUCAGAGCUGGUUCUCCAGGCGAAUGGCAGCCAGGACCCAGGUCCUGAAUUCUCCUGCCACUGGGACUGCCUCACAUUGGCAUCUAUUUGAGGGGCUUUGCUAAAUGCCCUGGCCCGCUUCUGCCACAUGGAGUUGUGCCCUCAAAAUAUUCCUGGUUUCCGAGGCAAAGGUGCUCUCUAUUGUUCCUGUUUUGUGUCCAGCAUCUCCAGGCUGCACUGAAGCUCAAGCUGUGGCCUGGGGUUGAGGGUACCAGAUCCCAGGAAGGCUGAGAGUCCCUUAACAUCCCCAGGAAUGGGACAGAGUAACAUCAUAUACCUCCUGAUAUGCUACUCUGAGAUGAACCCAGCAUCACCUUUGGGGUACCCCAGCCAAGACUGUACAGCAUAAAUCAUCAUAAGGAAACAUCAGACAAACCUGAAAUGAGGAUGGCUGCUCCUGGUAACCAAGGUGCGAUCGGGAGGCUGCUUGGCAAUUGCUGAACUCGUUGCCUAGGAUCCACAAUUGAAAAGAAAAGCAUCUGUUCCCAAAGGAGACUGAAACAUAAACAGAAAAACCCAGCACCAUGUGCAGGCUGCAGGAACGGAAUGAGUGAUGGAGUACAGCAGGAAACCAGACGGACUUGUUUGCUACCCUUAUGGACCUUCAAGGGGAAGACAGACAUUAAAUAAAUACACGCCUGAAGAGUGUUUUAAAAGGAGGAAUAUGGGGGCAG
ensembl:lncRNA